ACCAGACUCCUACGGGAGGCAGCAGUGGGGGAUAUUGCACAAUGGGGGGAACCCUGAUGCAGCGACGCCGCGUGGGUGAAGAAGUAUUUCGGUAUGUAAAGCCCUAUCGGCAGGGAAGAAAUUGGACGGUACCUGACUAAGAAGCUCCGGCUAACUACGUGCCAGCAGCCGCGGUAAUACGUAGGGGGCAAGCGUUAUCCGGAUUCACUGGGUGUAAAGGGAGCGUAGACGGCCAUGCAAGCCUGGAGUGAAAGCCCGGGGCCCAACCCCGGGACUGCUCUGGGAACUGUGCGGCUGGAGUGCGGGAGGGGCAGGCGGAAUUCCUGGUGUAGCGGUGAAAUGCGUAGAUAUCAGGAGGAACACCGGCGGCGAAGGCGGCCUGCUGGACCGCGACUGACGUUGAGGCUCGAAAGCGUGGGGAGCAAACAGGAUUAGAUACCCGUGUAA
rnacentral:rRNA from 1 species